GACGAACGCUGGCGGCGUGCUUAACGCAUGCAAGUCGAACGAGGCCCAUCCAGCUUGCUGGUGAAGACCGAGUGGCGAACGGGUGAGUAACACGUGAGGAACCCACCCCGGAGACCGGGAUAACCCUCCGAAAGGAGAGCUAAUACCGGAUGCCCUCAUCGGAUCGCAUGUUCUGAUGAGGAAAUGGAUUCCGCUCCGGGACGGCCUUGCGGCCUAUCAGCUUGUUGGUGGGGUAACGGCCCACCAAGGCGUCGACGGGUAGCUGGUCUGAGAGGACGGUCAGCCACACUGGGACUGAGACACGGCCCAGACUCCUACGGGAGGCAGCAGCGGGGAAUAUUGCGCAAUGGGCGAAAGCCUGACGCAGCAACGCCGCGUGAGGGAUGAAGGCUUUCGGGUUGUAAACCUCUUUCAGCAGGGACGAUUGUGACGGUACCUGCAGAAGAAGCCCCGGCCAACUACGUGCCAGCCGCCGCGGUAAUAC
rnacentral:rRNA from 1 species